rnacentral:rRNA from 1 species
AAUUUCCAAAAUGAGGCGGGCUGGACCUCUCGGGGUUACAGCCUUGCUGAAUUAUUCACCCUUGUCUUUUGCGUACUUCUUGUUUCCUUGGUGGGUUCGCCCACCACUAGGACAAACAUAAACCUUUUGUAAUUGCAAUCAGCGUCAGUAACAAAUUAAUAAUUACAACUUUCAACAACGGAUCUCUUGGUUCUGGCAUCGAUGAAGAACGCAGCGAAAUGCGAUAAGUAGUGUGAAUUGCAGAAUUCAGUGAAUCAUCGAAUCUUUGAACGCACAUUGCGCCCUUUGGUAUUCCAAAGGGCAUGCCUGUUCGAGCGUCAUUUGUACCCUCAAGCUUUGCUUGGUGUUGGGCGUCUUGUCUCUAGCUUUGCUGGAGACUCGCCUUAAAGUAAUUGGCAGCCGGCCUACUGGUUUCGGAGCGCAGCACAAGUCGCACUCUCUAUCAGCAAAGGUCUAGCAUCCAUUAAGCCUUUUUUUCAACUUUUGACCUCGGAUCAGGUAGGGAUACCCGCUGAACUUAAGCAUAUCAAUAAGCGGAGGAA